rnacentral:rRNA from 1 species
UACGAAGGGGGCUAGCGUUGCUCGGAAUUACUGGGCGUAAAGCGCACGUAGGCGGCUUCUUAAGUCGGUGGUGAAAUCCUGGAGCUCAACUCCAGAACUGCCUUCGAUACUGGGAAGCUCGAGUCCGGGAGAGGUGAGUGGAACUGCGAGUGUAGAGGUGAAAUUCGUAGAUAUUCGCAAGAACACCAGUGGCGAAGGCGGCUCACUGGCCCGACACUGACGCUGAGACUCGAAAGCGUGGGGAGCAAACAGG